GAUGAAGACGCAGCGAAAUGCGAUACUUGGUGUGAAUUGCAGAAUCCCGUGAACCAUCGAGUCUUUGAACGCAAGUUGCGCCCGAAGCCAUUAGGCCGAGGGCACGCCUGCCUGGGCGUCACACGUCGUUGCCCCCCCAUCUACUCCUUCGGGAUUGCGGGGGGCGGAUGAUGGCCUCCCGUGCGCCUCGUCGCGCGGUUGGCAUAAAUGCCAAGUCCUCGGCGACGCACGCCACGACAAUCGGUGGUUGCGAAACCUCGGUUGCCCGUCGUGUGCGGUCGUCGCGCAUCGAGGGCUCGAAAAAAUUGCCGGGCUCCGGCUCGGCUUUCAACGCGACCCCAGGUCAGGCGGGGUUACCCGCUGAAUUUAAGCAUAUCAAUAAGCGGAGGA
rnacentral:misc_RNA from 1 species